GACGAACGCUGGCGGCGUGCUUAACACAUGCAAGUCGAACGGAAAGGCGCGGCUCUUGUUGGGUGCUCGAGUGGCGAACGGGUGAGUAACACGUGAGUAACCUGCCCUUGACUUUGGGAUAUCUUCAGGAAACUGGGGCUAAUACCGGGGAGGAUCUCCUGCUGCGUGUGGGUGGUUGGAAAGAUUCGGCGGUUGGGGAUGGACUGGCGGGUUAUCAGCUGGUUGGGGGGGUAGUGGCUUACCAAGGCUUUGACGGGUAGCCGGCCUGGGAGCGUGACCGGCCACAAUGGGACUGAGAGACGCACCAGAAUGCUACGGGAGGCAGCAGGCGGGAAUCUGGCACAAUGGGCGGAAGCGAGAUGCAAAAACGCCCCGUGCGGGAUGACGGCCUUCGAGUUGUAAACCGAUUUCGACGGUGACGAAGCGUGAGUGACGGUAACGGGUAAAGAAGCAACGGCUAACUACGUG
rnacentral:rRNA from 1 species